rnacentral:rRNA from 1 species
GAUGAACGCUGGCGGCGUGCCUAAUACAUGCAAGUCGAGCGAACAGACGAUGAGCUUGCUCCUCUGACGUUAGCGGCUGACGGGUGAGUAACACGUGGAUAACCUACCUAUAAGACUGGGAUAACUUCGGGAAACCGGAGCUAAUACCGGAUCAUAUAUUGAACCGCAUGGUUCAAUAGUUAAAGACGGUUUUGCUGUCACUUAUAGAUGGAUCCGCGCCGCAUUAGCUAGUUGGUAAGGUAACGGCUUACCAAGGCAACGAUGCGUAGCCGACCUGAGAGGGUGAUCGGCCACACUGGAACUGAGACACGGUCCAGACUCCUACGGGAGGCAGCAGUAGGGAAUCUUCCGCAAUGGGCGAAAGCUUGACGGAGCAACGCCGCGUGAGUGAUGAAGGUCUUCGGAUCGUAAAACUCUGUUAUUAGGGAAGAACAAAUGUGUAAGUAACUAUGCACGUCUUGACGGUACCUAAUCAGAAAGCCACGGCUAACUACGUG